rnacentral:snoRNA from 1 species
AUGCAUGUUGCAACCCCGGGCUUCUCUGAAUUAUAUAUGACGUGAAAGCCCCAUUGCACAUGCAAAAUUGAUGCCAUUCGUGUUGCAGUUCAUUCUCAGUAACUCCACGUUUGAUCUGUGUCAAAGUAAUGGCAACAUUG